CUGCGCCCCCCCCGCCUCCCCCUUCCGGGGAGCCGAGCCCGCCCUCCCGGCCUGGGCGGCGCUGCGCGGCGCGGGGCUCGCCCUCGGGGGCCCCGGGGGACGCGCUGCCGGGCUGCAGGGCGGCGGGUUCGAGCCCCGGGCCGCGCGCGGGCGGCGGUCCCAGCAGCGAGGCGCCCAGCGCGGGGCGGGGCGGGGCGGCCAGCUGGGGCCCCGCACCCGCGCCCUCUCCCCACCCCUGCUUCUCUGCUUCAACUCUAGGAACUAAACCCACAGUGUCAGCUCCUGCUCAGGUUUGCACUGAGUUCUCUCCGAGGCCUUGAAACACUUCUGCGAAGAAACCUGAAUUUACAUUGUCUGCGAUAUUAUAUAACUCAUCCUAGUUACAGUAACAACAGGACUGCCAGAAAGCUUUGGAGGCAUCCAGUCUUCAAAGAAAGCUCCAUUGUACUCAGGAAGCAAAGAGGUUUAAAUAUGUGAUUACAAUUGGCCCCGUAUCAUCAUCUCCUAUGUGUUAAACCAAGUUUUAAAGGACGCCUGGUUCUCCAGUUCUCUACAUGUGAGCAGAGCUCCAGCUGUAAUGCCUGUUAGCUUCAGCUCAGAAAAAGAAGAUGGACACAAAACCAAGAGCAGAGCUUUGGCUGAGCUAGCACCCUUUAAAGGACCUUUCUGGAAUCCCCACCCCCCCCCCCCGCCCUCUCCUUGUAUUGAUUGGCCAGGACCCUGUUGCUUGACCACCCCUGCCUGAAAGGGACAGGGAAAUGCAUGCUGCACCAAAUAAAAUUCAAGUUCUGUUUGUGAGAGAGGAGAAAGAAUAUUGGACAGGCGGCCAGCAGGCUCUGUCACAAAUGAGCAAAGAUGAUCACAGUUCUGUGUAUCUUUGCCUGCAAUCUAGAAAAACAGCAGCUUUUUGUAAGGCAUCUUUGCUGGUUAUUUUUCUCCCGGACCAUCAUAUUUAAUGCAUCUUUUUAAUGCUCAAAGGUGAUUCCUAGGAAGUUACUGUAGUGAAUGGAAAUGCUAAGAGCUUCCCAUCACUAAAAUAACUAUGACAUCAUCUCAAAAGAAAAAUAACAAAUCCCCCGCAAUUACUCUUAUAAACACUCAGAGUUGGAAAUAUUCUACAUUUUUUUUUAACAUUCUACAUUUUAAUGGGAACCGGGGCAGUCCCCAUGGGCAGGACAGGGUUGAUAAGCACUGCAUGCCACUUCCUUUGUCUGCUGUGUCUUCGUUCUUCAGAUCCAGACAGGAGAUGUGAUGAUCCACAACAUGGAGCAGAUGAGGCCCUCGACUGCUCUUCUCACCACAUGCAGUCUCGUCCUCUCACUCUGGUCCUGGAUAGUGUUCUCUAAAAACACCUGCAUCCCCCUAAACGGGAAAGGUGAUCUGUGUGACUGCAAAAUUUGCCUCCAGCCCUAGAUGUGGCUGGAACAUCUUCUGGUUGUUGGGCUGUGCGGGCGUUCCCCUUCUUAGAUGGUAGUUUAUAUAUUUAUACAGGAUUCUGGAAUCUCUCACAUCAGACCUUGAAGCACCAACAAAGGAACAAGUCAAUAUCAAGAAUGAGUAAACAACACCCCCAACAAAACUUGAGCCUUUUAAGAAAUCUGAGGAAAAGUAGAAAAGGAGUAAUGGUGUAAGAGUUUAAAGAACAUGUUUUCACCUUAUAUUCUUACUGAGUUAAAAGCAGACUCAAAAAACUAUUUUAAAAGGUUGGAAUAAAAAAGGAGUGGGGAAAAAAAAGAGAAAAGCACAAUAGCCAAAAUAAAAUCUUAGUCAUGCAGAAAGAAAAAAAUGACAAAACUCUGGGAAAAAACAAACCAUGUUACAUUACAUGAACCUGGAAGGCUCAAGAAAUGAGACAUCAGUUGAUUAGUUUUUAAAUAACAGAGAAGGUAAAAGGUUUGUAAAAUACAGUAGGGAAUUCUAACCUUAAAAUAACAAUAAUUCCAGAAUGGGAGAGAUCAAAUACACAAAAAGGAAAAAAAAAAAGAAAAAAUUAACAAAAUUUAUUUUAGCAUCUGGCACAUAUUAAGAACUUAACAAGUAUUUAUUAAAUAGUUGAAUUAAGUAAAAAAAAUCAUGAGACUGAAAAUGUAGAGAUUUUGCCAUUUUUAUGCAAAACUGAAAAGCAAAAAUCAAUGCCAACAAACAUUCUGGAGAAAGUUUUCCAGUGAAUACCUUAUGUUAUCCACACACACACAGUAUUUAUAUUUAACAAUAGUGAAAAUCAAGGUGCCUUCCUGUUUCUCCUCUGGAGCAUUGAUUAAUGAGAAGGUAGUCAAUAAUACCUUCAGAGUUUUUAGAAGGAAAGUAUAACACUAUUGGUCCAUUUCUCAAAAGCCACUCUCAGCUCUUCUUAGCUCCCCACAGGAUUGAGGUGAGGGGCUAAAUAUCUGCCCUCCCGGCCUUUCUUACAGUUAGGGGUGGAUACCAAGCCUGACCCUGGUUCUUGAGAAGAAAACAGAAUUCUGCUGACAGCACUUCUGAGAAAGCCUUUGGAUUUCUAUAAAGAGCUGGAGAUUUGACCGAUGUGGCUCUUUUGCCUCCGCCUCACUUUGAAACCCUCCCUUGGACAUUGUAUAGGGAUAUUGAUGCCAUAAAAAACUUAGUGGCUGAAAACAACACAAAUAUUACCUUACAGUUCUGGAGUUGGGUCAGAAGUUCAAAAUGUGUCUAAAUUGGGCUUUAAAAAAUCAAGGUGAGGGGCACCUGGGUGGCCCAGUCUGUUAGGCGUCUGUCUUGGGCUCAGGUCAUGAUCUCAGGGUCCUGGG